AUUGAACGCUGGCGGCAUGCCUUACACAUGCAAGUCGAACGGUAACAGGUCUUCGGAUGCUGACGAGUGGCGAACGGGUGAGUAAUACAUCGGAACGUGCCUAGUAGUGGGGGAUAACUACUCGAAAGAGUGGCUAAUACCGCAUGAGAUCUACGGAUGAAAGCAGGGGAUCGCAAGACCUUGUGCUACUAGAGCGGCCGAUGGCAGAUUAGGUAGUUGGUGGGAUAAAAGCUUACCAAGCCGACGAUCUGUAGCUGGUCUGAGAGGACGAUCAGCCAACCUGGGAGUGAGACACGGCCCAGACUCCUACGGGAGGCAGCAGUGGGGAAUUUUGGACAAUGGGCGAAAGCCUGAUCCAGCAAUGCCGCGUGCAGGAUGAAGGCCUUCGGGUUGUAAACUGCUUUUGUACGGAACGAAAAGCCCCGGGUUAAUACCCUGGGGUCAUGACGGUACCGUAAGAAUAAGCACCGGCUAACUACGUGCCAGCCGCCGCAGUAA
rnacentral:rRNA from 1 species